GAUGAACGCUGGCGGCGUGCCUAAUACAUGCAAGUCGAGCGAACAGAUAAGGAGCUUGCUCCUUUGACGUUAGCGGCGGACGGGUGAGUAACACGUGGGUAACCUACCUAUAAGACUGAAAUACCUCGGGGAACCGGGACUAAUUCCGGGUAACAAUUUAGAACGCAUGGUUUUUAAGGGGAAGAUUGUUUUGCCUACCCCUAUUAAAGGGCCCGCGCCGGAUUAGCUAGUUGGUAAGGUAACGGCUUACCAAGGCAACGAUACGUAGCCGACCUGAGAGGGUGAUCGGCCACACUGGAACUGAGACACGGUCCAGACUCCUACGGGAGGCAGCAGUAGGGAAUCUUCCGCAAUGGGCGAAAGCCUGACGGAGCAACGCCGCGUGAGUGAUGAAGGUCUUCGGAUCGUAAAACUCUGUUAUUAGGGAAGAACAAAUGUGUAAGUAACUGUGCACGUCUUGACGGUACCUAAUCAGAAAGCCACGGCUAACUACGUG
rnacentral:rRNA from 1 species